rnacentral:tRNA from 1 species
GCAUCAGUGGUUUAGUGGUGUAAGUUUAACGUCAAGACCUUCCAUCGAUGGGCCCCGCGUUCGAUUCGCGGCUGAUGCA